CUCCUACGGGAGGCAGCAGUGGGGAAUAUUGGGCAAUGGGCGCAAGCCUGUACCCAGCAACGCCGCGUGAUUGAAGAAGGCCCUCGGGUUGUAAACUUCUUUUAUUCGGGACGAAACAAAUGACGGUACCGAAUGAAUAAGCCACGGCUAACUACGUGCCAGCAGCCGCGGUAAUACGUAGGUGGCAAGCGUUAUCCGGAUUUACUGGGUGUAAAGGGCGUGUAGGCGGGACUGCAAGUCAGAUGUGAAAACCAUGGGCUCAACCCAUGGCCUGCAUUUGAAACUGUAGUUCUUGAGUUAUGGAGAGGCAGGCGGAAUUCCGUGUGUAGCGGUGAAAUGCGUAGAUAUACGGAGGAACACCAGUGGCGAAGGCGGCCUGCUGGACAUUAACUGACGCUGAGGCGCGAAAGCGUGGGGAGCAAACAGGAUUAGAUACCCUGGUAGUCCACGCUGUAAACGAUGGAUACUAGGUGUGGGGGGUCUGACCCCCUCCGUGCCGGCAGCUAACGCAAUAAGUAUCCCACCUGGGGAGUACGAUCGCAAGGUUGAAACUCAAAGGAAUUGACGGGGGCCCGCACAAGCGGUGGAGUAUGUGGUUUAAUUCGAAGCAACGCGAAGAACCUUACCAGGGCUUGACAUGGGGAUGACCGGCGUAGAGAUACGCCUUCUCUUCGGAGCAUCCCACACAGGUGGUGCAUGGUUGUCGUCAGCUCGUGUCGUGAGAUGUUGGGUUAAGACCCGCAACGAGCGCAACCCUUAUUGUUAGUUGCUACGCAAGAGCACUCUAACGAAACUGCCGUUGACAAAACGGAGGAAGGUGGGGACGACGUCAAAUCAUCAUGCCCCUUACGUCCUGGGCCACACACGUACUACAAUGGCGGUCAACAGAGCGAGGCAAAGCCGCGAGGCAGAGCGAAUCGCUAAAAGCCGUCCCAGUUCGGAUUGCAGGCUGCAACCCGCCUGCAUGAAGUUGGAAUCGCUAGUAAUCGCAGAUCAGCAUGCUGCGGUGAAUACGUUGCCCGGGCCUUGUACACACCGC
rnacentral:rRNA from 1 species